GGCGAUGUAGCUCAGCUGGUAGAGCACCCGGCUCAUAUCCGGUAGGUCAUAGGUUCAAGCCCCAUCAUCGCUA
rnacentral:tRNA from 1 species